rnacentral:rRNA from 1 species
CCUACGGGAGGCAGCAGUGAGGAAUAUUGGUCAAUGGCCGAGAGGCUGAACCAGCCAAGUCGCGUGAGGGAAGACGGCCCUACGGGUUGUAAACCUCUUUUGUCGGGGAGCAAAGCGAGUCACGUGUGACUCAUUGAGAGUACCCGAAGAAAAAGCAUCGGCUAACUCCGUGCCAGCAGCCGCGGUAAUACGGAGGAUCCGAGCGUUAUCCGGAUUUAUUGGGUUUAAAGGGUGCGUAGGCGGCCUUUUAAGUCAGCGGUGAAAGUCUGUGGCUCAACCAUAGAAUUGCCGUUGAAACUGGGGGGCUUGAGUAUGUUUGAGGCAGGCGGAAUGCGUGGUGUAGCGGUGAAAUGCUUAGAUAUCACGCAGAACCCCGAUUGCGAAGGCAGCCUGCCAAGCCAUGACUGACGCUGAUGCACGAAAGCGUGGGGAUCAAACAGGAUUAGAUACCCCAGUAGUC